GACGAACCGUCCAAACGUUAUUCGGAAUUACUGGGCUUAAAGGGUGCGUAGGCGGCGCGGAAAGUUGGGUGUGAAAUCCCUCGGCUCAACCGAGGAACUGCGCCCAAUACUACCGUGCUUGAGGGAGAUAGAGGUGAGCGAAACUUAGGGUGGAGCGGUGAAAUGCGUUGAUAUCCUAAGGAACACCGGUGGCGAAAGCGGCUCACUGGAUCUCUUCUGACGCUGAGGCACGAAAGCUAGGGUAGCGAACGGG
rnacentral:rRNA from 1 species